rnacentral:rRNA from 1 species
GACGAACGCGUGGCGGCGUGGAUUAGGCAUGCAAGUCGAACGGUAUCAUCCUUCGGGGGUGAGAGAGUGGCGAACUGGUGAGUAACACGUAGGUUAUCUACCCUCAAGACGGGGACAACCCAGGGAAACUUGGGCUAAUACCGGAUGUGAGCAACUUUAGUUGUUUGAAAGGUGGCGUAAGCUGUCGCUUGGGGAUGAGCCUGCGUCCUAUUAGUUAGUUGGUGAGGUAACGGCUCACCUAGGCAAUGAUAGGUAGGCGGCCUUAACGGGUGGUCGCCCACACUGGGAUUGAGAUACGGCCCAGACUCCUACGGGAGGCAGCAGUCGAGAAUAGUCUACAAUGGUCGGAAGACUGAUAGUGCGACGCCGCGUGAACGAUGAAUCCCUUCGGGGUGUAAAGUUCUUUUAUAUGUGAGCAGUGCUUCUUAUAUUAACAGUAUGGGGAGAGAGAUAUUAGCAUAUGAAUAAGCAACGGCUAACUCCGUG